AUGCAGCCAUGCACAAGUGUCGUCACUUGCAUCUCCUUUGUGCGUUCCCGUCAUUCCAUGCCGCACGAGGCUGCAGUCACCACACCCUUGAGUAGUGUUUCUUGUACUGAUGUUAACCUCAUAAAAAAGACUCCCAGGUGGACAUCUGCUAUAAAUAAUCAGGUACUGCUUUCCAUUAUCAAAUUCAAAUGCUCAGUGAAACUAUCCAAUGGAUGGACUGGUUGUUUAACACUGAAUCAUCAACACUUUAUUCUCAUCUUAUCUCCUCUUCCAUUCACUGAAACAUCUGCAGUGCACGCUUGUUACUUCUUUGACUGCUUGAACAUAAAUAUUGAGAAAACUCAAUUUUCUAUGGGCAUGAAUAAUCUUUCGAUUCAUACAUAA
rnacentral:rRNA from 1 species